rnacentral:tRNA from 1 species
AAGGUUUUAAGUUAAAAAAACUAAUAGCCUUCAAAGCUGAAAAUAAAAAUACAUUUUUAAACCUUA